rnacentral:lncRNA from 1 species
AAGAACCAGCGGCGUAACUUGCAAAGGUUUGGCUGGAUUCCAAUUCUUUCAGUCUCGCGUUAUCGACUAACUUGUCAGAAUGGAUCACACCGAUCAAAUUCAACAGUCUGAAGAAGUUUACAGAUUUAACACUGUUCGUUUUGAUAGACGAAGACGAGGAUUUCCAGAAUUACCCACGUAUGUAUAUCUGGGUUAUUGUGUGAUAAAAUUACAACGUCACGGUGCAUGUCUCAUGUUGACGUGUUGUUAGCUAAAGAUGCAAAACAUUGUAUAAUAUUUGUAUAUUAUGCAAUAUUUAAUUAUUAUAAUGGAAUUACCAGGGAGUUGUUCCGUAAUGUGGCCGUGACUGCGCGUAUCCAUUCUUUUCCAUUAGAUGCACCAAAAACAACAACUGUUAAAAGACCAGUUACGACAACACACCGCAAUGCCGAUGCUGGGGAGGGAACACGCUACACGUUUAAAAAACCUUGUUUGUGCUUUACAAUACCCCCUCAAAACCUUGUGGAGACUCAGGCAGAUGUUCAUGUUAUACCAGAGGUUGGGGAGCAUAUCACCAGAUCGCCUGGGAGAAGAGGUCGGUAUUAAGAAUUGUCUGUGCCGUGUUAUAAAACAUUCUUUUAACAUACACAUUUGAAGGUGUCUAUAACUAAUUAAUAA